rnacentral:rRNA from 1 species
UAGGGAAUAUUCCACAAUGGGCGAAAGCCUGAUGGAGCAAUGCCGCGUGAGUGAUGAAGGUCUUCGGAUUGUAAAGCUCUGUUGUAUGGGAAGAACACUUAGGAUAGGUAAUGAUCUUAAGCUGACGGUACCAUACCAGAAAGCCACGGCUAACUAUGUGCCAGCAGCCGCGGUAAGACAUAGGUGGCAAGCGUUAUCCGGAAUUACUGGGCGUAAAGGGCGCGUAGGUGAAUUAAUAAGUCUGAUGUUAAAUGUACUGGCUCAACCAGUUGCCUGCAUUGGAAACUGUUAAUUUAGAGUGUGAGAGAGGUAAGUGGAAUUUCUUAUGUAGCGGUGGAAUGCGUAGAUAUAAGAAGGAACACCAGUGGCGAAGGCGACUUACUGGCUCAUUACUGACACUGAGGCGCGAAAGCGUGGGGAGCAAACAGG